rnacentral:misc_RNA from 1 species
CUCUGACCUUUCAUCAAACCAAACGAAGGCUUACAAAUUUGUCACGAGGGCUUCUUUUCUCUUAGGGCAAUUCUCAUCGCUCGGUGAGAAAGGAAUAAGGAGAUUUGUUCUACUGUUUUAGGAUUAAUGCUCUCCAACAAAUGGUCUCUGAGGACUAGCACUAUAGCAUUAUUGAUUAAGAAAUGCAGAGAACAAGAUGGAGAGGUAAGAGGAGGAAGUCUUUCCAUA